rnacentral:rRNA from 1 species
UUAAAAAGCUCGUAGUUGGAUUUCGGUUAAGAGCGACCGGUCCGCCGUUUGGUGUGCACUGGUUGGUUUUAACUUCCUGUAGAGGACGUGCUCUGGGCUUAACGGUCUGGACUCGGAGUCUACGUGGUUACUUUGAAAAAAUUAGAGUGUUCAAAGCGGGCUUACGCUUGAAUAUUUCAGCAUGGAAUAACACUAUAGGACUCCUGUCCUAUUUCGUUGGUCUCGGGACGGGAGUAAUGAUUAAGAGGAACAGUUGGGGGCAUUCGUAUUUCAUUGUCAGAGGCGAAAUUCUUGGAUUUAUGAAAGACGAACUUCUGCGAAAGCAUUUGUCAGGAUGUUU